AUUUUGAGGCUUGAUCAGAAUACUGUCUUGCCUCCAUUCUUUUCUCCCGCCCAUGUUUUCUUUCAGGUAAGGGCCUCCUCGGGUUCCGCGCAAUAACUAGGUCCUGCGGGUCGGGACAGGGGACAACACUAUUGGCUCACAGGACAGACCUAGGGUAUCAGAUUGUAUAAAACUGGGUAUGACUCAGGAUUAUAUUUUACUAUACAGGUUAAGGACCCUCCCAGAAAAGCUCACCCUAUAGGGCCCAACAAACCACUUCUAAUUCCAGGACUACCUCAAAGUCUUACAUCUGAGAGAACUCCUGUUUCCCAGGCAACCCCGACUCCGGCUCUAGCCUCUUCAGGUAGUAGCCUAACAGCUAUUAAACCCCAGGCAUUUGACCAGCUACAACCAGAACCCGAAGGAAAAUUAAUAACUAUGUUAACAACAAAACACAAGGACUUAAAUAAGACCUCCCAGACAUAGGGCAGGAUUGUUGGUUGUGCCUAAACCCAAAACCCCUUAUUAUGUCGGGGUAGGAACUCCCUUAAACCUAACUGAGCUCAGCAGCACACAUGACUGUGAAUGGGAAACUCCUCGACUCACCUUGGGAGACAUACGAGGAAAAGGAACUUGCCUGAUUUCAAAAAAUUAUUCCAAGCUGUUGACACAGUCACCUUACUUCGAUAACUGUAAUUGUACUAUCAAAGUAUAGAACUACCUCAGGGAGUAAAUACUAUAAGGCUCCAAAUAAUACUUGGCUAGCAUGUGAUAGUGGGCUCACUCACUGUGCUGCAGCUGUUCUUUUCAACUCAAGUGAGGCUAAUAUUUGUAUCCUAGUCUUUGUGCUCCCCCAAGUGUCCCUUUACAAUGGGCCGGAAGGCAGACUCCACUUCUUCCAUCAGGACAGGUUACAGAAACGGGCCGUACCAGUCUUAGUACUCCUUCUUGUAGGACUCGGAAUAGCGGGUUCAGCGGUGGUAGGCACUACUGCUCUCAUCAAGGGAAAACAUGAAUUACGUGAAAUUGGAAUACAGAUAGAUAAGGAUAUCAAGACCUUAAAAGACACCAUCAGCAGGCUGGAACUUCAAGUCGAUUCACUAGCGGAAGUAGUCCUCCAAAAUAGAAGAGGUUUAAAUUUAUUAUUCUUAAAACAAGAUGGGUUAUAUAUGGCGCUGGGUGAAACCUGUUGCUUCUAUGCCAAUAACUCUGUAGUAAUUAGAGAAGGCUUAUGACUAGUACAGAGAAAUUUGGAUGCCAGGGAAAAACAGAGACUAGAAUCAAAUAACUGGUUUCAUAGGAUGUUCAAAUGGUCACCAUGGCUAACAACUCUUCUAUCUACUGUAGCUGAACCUUUAAUCAUCCUCCUCCUUUUGUUAACUUUUGGCCCAUGUUUCCUUAAUUUCUUGUUUACAUAUAUAAGGAAAAAAAUUAAUUCCAUUAGACUUUUAGUAUUACAGACUAGAGGCUAUGAACAAAUUCCUCAUGAAGAAUCAAAGAUUUGAUCUUUGCUAAGGCCAGUGGGGAAUGUGGUAGCUGAAGAAUAACCACUUGAGAUUUAUUACUUGUAGAAAAAUUACUGUUUGACUAUUGCCAUGGCAACUAAAGGCUUUUGAUCAUAGGGACAUAACAUUCUGAUAACAAGCUUUCUGUUUCUGUACUCCCCGCUUACACACCCCAACCUAUAGGUUGACAGGUAGUGAAUAGGAGAAAAAUAGACCUUUGUGUUCAGAUAGAAUAAAGAAUGGGAUUUUGGGCUUAAAAACCCUGUACCUCUACAUUUCGGGGCUGCUUAAUUUGGGGUCUGCGUACCCCUGGCAGACCUAGCUGGCUGAAUAAAGAGUGUGAUUCCUAUGACUCACUAAUUCCUGGUGGUCCGUGUGUCUUUCAGGGGCUGGCGGCUACAACAGUAUUUACUUUUCCUUGUCUAGGGACUGAGGUGGCACUUCAGCAAGAAACCCAAGACCCUACCCUGACUGAGGCAGAAAAGGAAAGAGCUCCAUAAACUCCUGCAGGCAGGGACUAUGGCCAUUCUCAGCAGAAAGCAGAUACAGAAGAAGAGACCUCCGGUCCCUCAACAUCCAUGCUAAUAAUAAGGGGGUUCAUGGCUCUUAGAAAAAAAGUGAGAGCUCAGCCUUUGGAUAAGGAACCUUCUGAGCGGGCGCAGACAUCAAUGAAUGCUGCUCCCUGUCUGUAAACCUAGGAGUGCCAUCUCUUUGUUCAAGAAUCCGAUAAAGGUGCUGAUAACAUCAAGGGUCUGGAAAUUCCUCCCCUGCAGCCCCCCACCCGAAGCUGCCCCUCUCCACUUUGAGUAAGGAGGGACAUGUAAACCUCAGACAAAAGAAUCACACACCCCUUGCAUGGACACUGCAAGGGUAUAUAAGCUGUAAGCAAUCUAACCAUGCCCCAUGCUCUCCGCCAACAUUAAAUUCUUCCUCUAACAAAGUUGUCUGAGUGUCUGAAUUCCUCCAUCGGCCGGCAUUAAAUUCUCCUUCCUCUAA